rnacentral:rRNA from 1 species
AUUGAACGCUGGCGGCAGGCCUAACACAUGCAAGUCGAGCGGAAGAAGGGAGCUUGCUCCUGGAUUCAGCGGCGGACGGGUGAGUAAUGCCUAGGAAUCUGCCUGGUAGUGGGGGAUAACGUCCGGAAAUGGGCGCUAAUACCGCAUACGUCCUGAGGGAGAAAGUGGGGGAUCUUCGGACCUCACGCUAUCAGAUGAGCCUAGGUCGGAUUAGCUAGUUGGUGGGGUAAAGGCCUACCAAGGCGACGAUCCGUAACUGGUCUGAGAGGAUGAUCAGUCACACUGGAACUGAGACACGGUCCAGACUCCUACGGGAGGCAGCAGUGGGGAAUAUUGGACAAUGGGCGAAAGCCUGAUCCAGCCAUGCCGCGUGUGUGAAGAAGGUCUUCGGAUUGUAAAGCACUUUAAGUUGGGAGGAAGGGCAGUAAGUUAAUACCUUGCUGUUUUGACGUUACCAGCAGAAUAAGCACCGGCUAACUUCGUG